rnacentral:lncRNA from 1 species
GUAAUUGUUCUAAUCUUUCUUAUUGCAAGUAUCCUGAUCUUUCCUCACUGCAAUUUUAUCUCUAAUUUGCUUUGAAUAUGAGGAACUUUGAAUUGUUCUAGCCUUGCAUUUGAUAUAUCUCCUGUUUAGAUGUAACGAUUCGAAUCUGUGCAACUUCCAAGAUUCUGACCUUUCUACCUUGUUAUGAUUAUAACUUCAUGUAUUGACAUCUGAUUUGGACAAAACUUAUUUGAUCAGAAUAUAGACUCAUAAACCUUUGUUUUGAUAGCUUAUUUUAAGAAUUCGGAGUAAGUUUGUCUGCCCAAACUUCUAUUUCAAAUGAGCCUACAGAUUCUGCAAAACAGGGAUCGUAAUUUCUGACCUUUUGCUACUGAACUGCUUAUAAGUCCCUGUUGCAAACAUUGAUUUAUUCAAAGCUUAUUUCAUUGGAAACUAGACUCAUAGAUCUUUCUUUUGAUAUAUGGAUUGAAAGAUUUAGAAUCCAAACACCUACCCAAUUAUCUGUUGAAUCUGACAUUAUGAAUUCUGCUAAAUAGAGAUUUUGUUCUACGACCCUUGUUUACCAAAUUAUUUGUAACUCUCUCUAUUGGACAGUUCAAUUCAUAUGAAGCCUGUCAUAUCUGAAUGUAUAAUCCAAUGAUAUAUUUCUGAGUAAAUUGGAGCACAAUUGAUAGUUUGAAUCAUUUGUUCAAUGUGCCUCUUGUAUUCUGCUAGAAAUCGAGCUUUGGUCGAUUUCUAAUAUUCUAGUUUCAUUCCUUUGGAAAUUGAUAUCCUUUAGCUUUCUUAUUCAAUUGAGCUUUAUAUUACUACUUUGAAUUCUUUUAUGCUCUUAUCCUUAAAGUUAUUUGCAUUCUUGAAAACUAUUGUGUAACAUUUAUGCUAUAUCGUAUUGACUCAUUUAGGCACAUGUGUAUCCCAUUGUUCCGCAUUUGCUUUCGAUAUGUGCCUCUUCUAUUUCCUUUCAAAAUCCGAAUACCAUUGUGAAAGAUUAUUGCUUACUUCGUAUUGACUCGUAAAGGCACAUGUACGUUUUGUUGUUCCGCGUGUGCUUCCGAUAUAUGCUACUUAUUGAUAAAACUGUCCUCUUGUACUCUGGUGUUGUGGGAUUGUCUGGACCUUUGCUAGAAAUGGUAAAGGGUGUUAUUCUGGACCUUUGCCAGAAAUGGUGAAGGGUGUUAUUCUGGACCUUUGCCAGAAAUGGUAAAGGGUAUGUGCUUAGAGCCUGCAAUGCUCUGCCGGCCCCCUCUGGCUUCACCUAGACGUGGGUGGAUGGAGCUCCCAGACGUGGGAGACUUCUGUCAGGUGGUCAUUCAGAAAUGGAUGAAUCACAUUCUGACUGAGAUCCACUACACCUUCUAUAUGUUUGAUAUGAUAUCCAGAGCUUUGGUUAUGUAUUUCUGUACAUGCUUUGGAUAAGAAUGAUAUGAUUGCAACGUCAAAGACGACGUUUGAGCUUCUAUACGGUAUUUGUUAUUGAUAUGCUCUGAAAAGUUUCAUUCACUGUUGAUAUGCUUCGAAAUGUUCCAUAUGCCAUUGAUAUGCUCCGGAACAUUUCAUACGCCAUUGAUAAGCUCCGAAACAUUUCAUUUGUUAUUGAUAUGCUUCGAAAUGUUCCAUACGCCAUUGAUAUGCUCCGGAACAAUUCAUAUGCCAUUGAUAAGCUCCGAUAUAUUUCAUUUGUUAUUGAUAUGCUUUGAAAUGUACCCUUUGCCAUUGAUAUGCUCCGGAACAUCUCGUACGCUAUUGAUAUGCUCCAAUUACUCUAUGCUCCAUUUGUUAUGAAUCAAAUAUGUUUGAAAUGACAUGAUACAUAUGAUUUUGUAUCUAAUGAAAUGGUAUCCUUGAGAAUUCUUGUAUUCUGCCUUGCAUUAUGAUACCUUGUUUGAAACCAUUCCUUUUGUUCUGAAUAUGCUUUGUCACUUGCUGAG